rnacentral:tRNA from 1 species
AUCCCGGUAGAUCAGUUGGUAGAGCGAAGCGCCUAGCAAUAACUGCCAGGAGGUCGCAGGAUCGAAGCUUGCUCGGGAUU